UACGUAGGUGGCAAGCGUUGUCCGGAUUUAUUGAGCGUAAAGCGCGCGCAGGUGGUGCGGUAAGUCUGCCGUGAAAUCUCCCGGCUCAACUGGGAGGGGGCGGUGGAGACUGCCGGACUGGAGGGACUCAGAGGCCGGUGGAAUUCCCGGUGUAGUGGUGAAAUGCGUAGAGAUCGGGAGGAACACCAGUGGCGAAGGCGGCCGGCUGGGGGUGCCCUGACGCUGAGGCGCGAAAGCGUGGGGAGCAAACAGG
rnacentral:rRNA from 1 species